rnacentral:rRNA from 1 species
AUUGAACGCUGGCGGUAUGCUUAACACAUGCAAGUCGAACGGUAACAGGCCUUCGGGCGCUGACGAGUGGCGGACGGGUGAGUAACGCGUAGGAAUCUGCCUCAUAGUGGGGGACAACGUGGGGAAACUCACGCUAAUACCGCAUACGCCCUACGGGGGAAAGCGGGGGAUCUUCGGACCUCGCGCUAUGAGAUGAGCCUGCGUUAGAUUAGCUAGUUGGUAGGGUAAAGGCCUACCAAGGCGACGAUCUAUAGCUGGUCUGAGAGGACGAUUAGCCACACUGGGACUGAGACACGGCCCAGACUCCUACGGGAGGCAGCAGUGGGGAAUAUUGGACAAUGGGCGCAAGCCUGAUCCAGCAAUACCGCGUGUGUGAAGAAGGCCUUAGGGUUGUAAGCACUUUCAAUUGGGAGAAACCUGCCGGUCAAUACCCGGUAGCUUGACAUUACCUUUAGAAGAAGCACCGGCUAACUCCGUGCC